rnacentral:rRNA from 1 species
UACAGAGGGUGCGAGCGUUUAAUCGGAAUUACUGGGCGUAAAGCGCACGUAGGUGGCGACGUAAGUCGGGUGUGAAAGCCCCGGGCUCAACCUGGGAAUUGCAUUCGAGACUGAAUAGCUAGGGUACGGUAGAGGGAAGUGGAAUUUCCGGUGUAGCGGUGAAAUGCGUAGAUAUCGGAAGGAACAUCAGUGGCGAAAGCGACUUCCUGGACCAGUACCGACGUUCAGGCACGAAAGCGUGGGGAGC